UAUGGAAUUUUUCUUUUUUAAUUCGUGGCAAUUUUUGCCCUCUUUGAUUAUAUGUUUGUUAUUUUAUGGAUUUCAUUUUCUUUAAAAUUUUUCCUUCUCAUUUCCAUUUUAAAAUUUCGAUGCUUGUGCCUAAAUUUUUUUCUGUGGAUACUUUGGCGAGUGUUGAAGCCAUUUUCUAACUUUACCGAAUUUUUAAAGUUUUGGAGCGUUAGACUAUUGGAAUUAAUGUUGAUUAUCGCCCUUCUGCGUCG
rnacentral:misc_RNA from 1 species